rnacentral:misc_RNA from 1 species
GAAGUCCAGCCAGUGUACAGAUAUUUCCUUGUGGUAAAGAUAUGCAAAGUCAGCCUGUUGCUCGGCGGAGCUUUUUCCGAUGUUCUGCAGUGCAACUAAACUGGAAUCGUGGUUCAACUGGGCUUCUCAUUGUGGUGCAGUCAGAUGUUGACAAGACCAAUCAAAGUUAUUAUGGGGAGUCCAAGCUGAAUUACCUUACAACUGAUGGGACGUGCCUCUUCGCAAAGAGGGGCCUGUUCAUGACGUUCAGUGGUCAUAUUCUGGUUCAGAGUUUGCUGUUGUUUAUGGAUUCAUGCCGGCGAGUGCGACAUUGUUUGAUAAGAAGUGCAAACCUUUACUGGAGCUUGGGACAGGACCUUACAAUACUGUCAGAUGGAACCCAAAAGGGAAAUUUCUAUGCUUGGCUGGUUUUGGCAAUUUACCUGGUGAUAUGGCAUUUUGGGACUAUGUAAACAAAAAACAACUUGGAACAACUAGGGCUGAAUGUUCUGUGACUAGUGAGUGGUCCCCUGAUGGACUCUACUUCAUGACUGCGACUACAGCACCGAGACUACAAGUUGACAAUGGGAUUAAAAUUUUCCACUACAAUGGAUCAUUGUACUUCAAAAAGAUGUUUGACAAGCUAUACCAGGCUGAUUGGAAACCAGAAUCACCAGAUAGAUUUGGUGAAAUUGCAGAACUUGCAAAGUCGGUUGAUUCAUUGAAGGUUGAAGAAACCAAUCCACAAGGAAAAGGGGCAACCUCCAGAAAAAAGGCUUCUGACAAUCCUCCUGCUCAGAAACCUGCUGCCUAUCGCCCACCACAUGCUAAAAAUGCAGCUGCUGUUCAGGCAGAGUUGUUUGGAGGGAGCAGUACAGACCAAAUGAGCAAGAAUGCGCUAAAAAACAAGAAAAAAAGGGAUAAACAGAAGGAGAAGAAGGCUGCUGCCGCUGCUGAAGGCUCCUGAUUCGAUGCAGUUGUGCUGCAGGUGUCUCCUUAAACUGCACUCAAGAGGAUCAGAUCUGAUUGUAGAGUUGUUCUUUGAUUAGGGAUUUUGACUUUCUGAUGAGAGAUCUCGAGGUAAUCAAAUAGAAGCAUGUGUAUGUAAGCACAUUAAGGAUGCUUUCACAUGUAUUAAAAAUUUCAAUCUAGAAAUAGGGAUGUGCAUUUAGUCGGUUUGAUUUCAAAUCGAAGCAAAUUAAGAAAGGAGCC